rnacentral:rRNA from 1 species
AGAGUUUGAUCCUGGCUCAGAUUGAACGCUGGCGGCAUGCCUUACACAUGCAAGUCGAACGGCAGCACGGACCUCGGUCUGGUGGCGAGUGGCGAACGGGUGAGUAAUAUAUCGGAACGUACCUUUCAGUGGGGGAUAACGUAGCGAAAGUUACGCUAAUACCGCAUAUUCUGUGAGCAGGAAAGCAGGGGAUCGCAAGACCUUGCGCUGAUUGAGCGGCCGAUAUCAGAUUAGCUAGUUGGUGAGGUAAAGGCUCACCAAGGCGACGAUCUGUAGCGGGUCUGAGAGGAUGAUCCGCCACACUGGAACUGAGACACGGUCCAGACUCCUACGGGAGGCAGCAGUGGGGAAUUUUGGACAAUGGGGGCAACCCUGAUCCAGCCAUGCCGCGUGAGUGAAGAAGGCCUUCGGGUUGUAAAGCUCUUUCGGCCGGGAAGAAAUCGCACGGGCUAAUACCCUGUGUGGAUGACGGUACCGGAAUAAGAAGCACCGGCUAACUACGUGCCAGCAGCCGCGGUAAUACGUAGGGUGCGAGCGUUAAUCGGAAUUACUGGGCGUAAAGCGUGCGCAGGCGGUUUAGUAAGACAGGCGUGAAAUCCCCGGGCUCAACCUGGGAACUGCGCUUGUGACUGCUAAGCUAGAGUACGGCAGAGGGGGGUGGAAUUCCACGUGUAGCGGUGAAAUGCGUAGA